UACAGAGGUCUCAAGCGUUGUUCGGAUUCAUUGGGCGUAAAGGGUGUGUAGGUGGCGCCGUAAGUCGGGUGUGAAAUUUCGGAGCUUAACUCCGAAACUGCAUUCGAUACUGCGGUGCUUGAGGACUGGAGAGGAGACUGGAAUUCAUGGUGUAGCAGUGAAAUGCGUAGAGAUCAUGAGGAAGACCAGUGGCGAAGGCGGGUCUCUGGACAGUUCCUGACGCUGAGGCACGAAGGUCAGGGGAGCAAACGGG
rnacentral:rRNA from 2 species